rnacentral:rRNA from 1 species
GAUGAACGCUAGCGACAGGCUUAACACAUGCAAGUCGAGGGGCAGCGAGGGCGUAGCAAUACGCCUGUCGGCGACCGGCGCACUGGUGAGUAACACGUAUGCGACCUGCCCCCUACAGGGGGUAUAACCCGUAGAAAUGCGGACUAAUCCCCCAUAGUCCUGAGUGCUGCAUGGCAUUCAGGGGAAAGGUCAGCCGGUAGGGGAUGGGCAUGCGGCGCAUUAGCUAGUUGGCGGGGCAACGGCCCACCAAGGCGACGAUGCGUAGGGGUUCUGAGAGGAAGGUCCCCCACACUGGUACUGAGACACGGACCAGACUCCUACGGGAGGCAGCAGUGAGGAAUAUUGGUCAAUGGGCGCAGGCCUGAACCAGCCAAGUCGCGUGAGGGAGGACGGUCCUACGGAUUGUAAACCUCUUUUGUCGGGGAGUAACGUGCGGGACGGGUCCCGUAUUGAGAGUACCCGAAGAAAAAGCAUCGGCUAACUCCGUG